CGGAUAUGGUGAAAGAGCGAUGGCUCAUAGAUGAUCAAUAUUUUCAUAUGCUGAAGAAAAAUGAGGUUUUUGAGUGAAAACUCAUUACUGAAAAGUGAAAUGGUGCAAACUUGUGCUCGCCAAUAUCCAUAUUUUAAUAGAAAAUAACCGACAAUUAACCGAUUAAUUCCGGUUGAUCCUGCCGGCGGCCACUGCUAUCAGGUUUCGGCUAAGCCAUGCGAGUCUAGGGAUCGCAAGAUACCGGCAUACUGCUCAGUAACACGCGGAUAAUCUGCCCCCAGGAGAGGGAUAACCUCGGGAAACUGAGGCUAAUACCUUAUAGUCACUAUAUGCUGGAAUGCUUUGGUGAUGAAAGAAUUUCGCCUGAGGAUGAGUCUGCGGCCUAUCAGGUCGUAUGUGGUGUAACGGACCACAUAGCCUAAGACGGGUACGGG
rnacentral:rRNA from 1 species